AGAGUUUGAUCAUGGCUCAGGAUGAACGCUGGCGGCGUGCCUAACACAUGCAAGUCGAGCGGAGAUAAGUUGAAGCCUAGCGAUUCUUAUCUUAGCGGCGGAUGGGUGAGUAACACGUGGGUAACCUGCCCUGUACUGGGGGAUAACAGCUGGAAACGGCUGUUAAUACCGCAUAUGCGCACGGAGCCGCAUGGCCCUGGGCGGAAAGAUUCAUCGGUACAGGAUGGGCCCGCGCCGGAUUAACUUGUUGGCGGGGUAACGGCCCACCAAGGUGAUGAUCCGUAGCCGACCUGAGAGGGUGACCGGCCACAUUGGGACUGAGACACGGCCCAAACUCCUACGGGAGGCAGCAGUGGGGGAUAUUGCACAAUGGGGGAAACCCUGAUGCAGCGACGCCGCGUGAAGGAAGAAGUAUUUCGGUAUGUAAACUUCUAUCAGCGGGGAAGAAGAUGACGGUACCCGCACAAGAAGCCCCGGCUAACUACGUGCCAGCAGCGGC
rnacentral:rRNA from 1 species